rnacentral:lncRNA from 1 species
CACAAAGGCCUGCUUCAGAACUCGGUCUCCACUGCACUGCUGGCCAGACGAGGGAUGUUAUUUUGGGCAGUGCAUCUGGACUUGGUUCAAGUGGCACCAGCCAAAUCCCUGCCUUACUGACCUCUCCCCUGGAGGAGCAGGAGCAGUGCUCAAGGCCGCCCUGGGAGGGCUGAGAGGCAGGCUCUGGACUGGGGACACAGGGAUAGCUGAGCCCCAGCUGGGGGUGGAAGCUGAGCCAGGGACAGUCACAGAGGAACAAGAUCAAGAUGCGCUUUAACUGAGAAGCCCCCAAGGCAGAGGCUGAGAAUCAGAAGACAUUUCAGCAGAGCAUGUGCAGAGAUGAACUCACUAAUUGUUCAAAAUAAACAAUUUGAAUUCAAAGCAAAGUAUAUUUUUGGAAUAUCAAUUAUCACUUAUUGCAGAUAAAUGAUAAUAUAAAACACCAACUUUGGAAUUUAUUUGUUUUACUUCUGUGACUCUCAGCCUACUUUUUAAAAUAUAGUGUAUGUUUUAGAACAUACAUAUGAUAGUUGAGAAAGACACAUAUUCUGAUCAUGAAGAAAUAAACACAAGUUAAAUAUGACUAAGCAGAAAGAUGGAAGGACCAGGAAUGGUGAUGCUAACUUGGAACCACGAUGCAGGCUCUAAACUCCUCUACAAUCAUCCUCCCUUGUGAGAAAAAUACUUGAUCUGAAGGUCCCAGCAAGGAGCCGACUCACAGAAGAAUGCAGUUUUCACAUCAUGAUGAUUUAAUCUUCCUUGACCUGAGCAAUUGACAACCCCAAUUCUCCAGAACCUCACCCGCCACAAUCCCCUUAAAAACCCUGGCCCAGAACCCCUCAAGCAGACAGAUGUGAAGCUUGAGGAUUCCUUCAUCUCUUUGCCCAAUGGCAUUGUGAUUAUUAAACUCUUUUUCUGCUGCAAAUUAUGAUGUCUCAGUGUAUUGGUCUAUUGCUGCUCAGUGGGCAUAUG